AACGAACGCUGGCGGCAUGCCUAACACAUGCAAGUCGAACGAAGCCUUCGGGCUUAGUGGCGCACGGGUGCGUAACGCGUGGGAAUCUGCCCUUGGGUUCGGAAUAACAGUUAGAAAUGACUGCUAAUACCGAAUGAUGUCUUCGGACCAAAGAUUUAUCGCCCAAGGAUGAGCCCGCGUCGGAUUAGCUAGUUGGUGAGGUAAAGGCUCACCAAGGCGACGAUCCGUAGCUGGUCUGAGAGGAUGAUCAGCCACACUGGGACUGAGACACGGCCCAGACUCCUACGGGAGGCAGCAGUGGGGAAUAUUGGACAAUGGGCGAAAGCCUGAUCCAGCAAUGCCGCGAGAGUGAUGAAGGCCUUAGGGUUGUAAAGCUCUUUUACCCGGGAUGAUAAUGACAGUACCGGGAGAAUAAGCCCCGGCUAACUCCGUGCCAGCAGCCGCGGUAAU
rnacentral:rRNA from 1 species